AGCAGCCGCGGUAAUUCCAGCUCCAAUAGCGUAUAUUAAAGUUGUUGCAGUUAAAAAGCUCGUAGUUGAAUUUCGAGGCCGGUUUACUGGUCGUGCUUUUGUACGUACUGGUAUUAUUGGUUUCUCCUUUCUGACGAAUCAUAAUGCCAUUAAUUUGGUGUUUUGGGGAAUCAGGACUGUUACUUUGAAAAAAUUAGGGUGUUUAAAGCAGGCUCACGCUUGAAUACAUUAGCAUGGAAUAACGAAAUGGACGUUUGAUUUUAUUUGUUGGUUUCUAGGAUCGACGUAAUGAUUAAUAGGGAUAGUUGGGGCAUUAGUAUUCAAUUGUCAGAGGUGAAAUUCUUGGAUUUAUUGAAAGACUAACUACUGCGAAAGCAAUUUGCCAAGGAUGUUUCAUUAAUCAAGGACGAAAGUUAGGGAUCGAAGACGA
rnacentral:rRNA from 1 species